rnacentral:lncRNA from 1 species
UUUGUUCCAUCAAACCCAAAAGUAAAGGCGGUAAGUACAAACAAACUUCCCAAGCCUAUUAUAUUCCAUGAUGGCCGUCUUAUCAAAAAGCCAACACCACUAAUGUCUCUUCUCAUCAUUCUUUGGAUCCCCUUCGGCUUCUUCCUAUCUUGUUUGCGAGCUUGUGCAGGAUUACUCCUCCCUACACCUCUUCAAUACUACGCCUCAUGGGCCAUGGGUGUCCGUCUCAUAAUCAGAGGCAACCCACCACCCCGUAUCAAGAAAUCUAAAGAUCAAUCAGGCGUACUCUUUGUUUGUAGUCACAAGACUCUUUGUGACGCUGUUUUACUCUCUACAGUGUUAGGUCGCCCUAUCCCAGCAGUUGCAUACUCUCUUUCGCGAUUUUCUGAAAUCAUAGCACCAAUUAAAACAAUUAGACUCACUAGAGAACGAGGUUCUGAUGCAUCCAUUAUAAAACAACUAUUAAAAGAAGGUGAUCUCACAAUUUUCCCAGAAGGGACUACUUGUCGCGAACCAUUUCUUCUUAGAUUUUCAUCAUUAUUUGCUGAGCUAACCAAUGAGAUCGUCCCCGUGGCAAUGGUGAAUAAGAUGAGCAUGUUUCAUGGUACUACGGCUAGAGGAUGGAAAUGGAUGGACAUGUUUUUCUUUCUGAUGAAUCCACGUCCCACUUAUGAAAUUACAUUCUUGAAUAAGUUGUCGUAUGAGUACACUUGCAAGUCUGGGAAAUCAAGCCAUGAAGUAGCUAACUACGUACAAAAGGUUAUCGCGGAAACUCUCUCUUACGAGUGUACUAUUUUUACCAGGAAGGAUAAGUACAUAGCUCUUGCAGGAAACGAUGGCACAGUUAUGAAGAAAAGUUGAAUAAGCUAAAAGUAUAAAGAAGUUUUUAUUAAUUUGAUCAACAAUAAUGUGAAAAUGUUACUAACAUUAUAAAAAUAAUGAAGGUUGCUUACUCUACUCUACAAUUCCACCUUAAAGUUAUUAUUGUAAUUUCAAUUUCUGCUUUGGUUGAUGAUUUGAGUGAUCCUGUUAAGGUAACUAAAAUUAGGUUUAUAUGCGGCCCAGAUUCAAUCAUUUAUCUCAUCAAAGAUAAACAGACGAGAGAAGUAUUGAAAACAUCCUUAAACUUGAUACAAAUUAUUAAUUUCGUCUUCCUGAACUAUUGAUGGUCUUAAAAAUACCUCUCUACUUGACUAACUUAACUUAAAUACACACUCCGAUCUACCAUAUGACAUAGUAAGUGGUCUCAAACUCUUGUAGGAGCAUGUGACUCUUAAUAAAAAGUCGAGAUAAGUGUUGAAAACUCCUCUAAACUUGGUGAGAAUUCAGGGGUGUAUUUCAUUCAUGUUGCAAGAUUGGGUGUGUAUUUAAGUUCAAUUAGUUGAGUAAAGAGGUGUUUUUAAGGCUGUUAAUAGUUCGACACUGAGUUUAUGGGUGUUUUCAAUACUUCUCUCUGAACAAAAUAAUGAGAUUUUUCGUUACUUGUCUCUUUCGAUACGUAAUUAACUUUAUUAAUUUAAUUAAAUGAAUUGGACUAAGAGCUCACAUGUGCUAAUUUCUAUCUUUUCGUAGGCUUAACUAACCUACAUUAUUCCAAAGAAGCAUUAAUAAAAAGAAUUCAACAAUUUGUGCCAAUUAUUAAAUGCUAGAGAUGUCAAACAAUGUAGCUUUACCACGGGCUUAGUGUUAUAGCACACAAUAUAAGUGCAUAAAUGUAUAAGUUAUGUAAUGGCAUAAAAUAGAAAAAUAAAGAUUACACAAAGAGUAAAUUUCAAGCAUAUUAAAAUGGGGAUAACAACAUCUCCUACUAUUGAGAAAUGCACUUUGGAAGGUCGAGCAAGAGAUACAAUAGUUGCUAACUUGGAUGGAACUUUACUACGAAGUAAAGCUACUUUUGCUUAUUUCGCGUUGGUAGCAUUCGAUGUUGGUGGGGUCUUAAGGUUACUAUUUCUUCUCUUAGUUUCACCUUUUUUCAGUAUUCUUUACUAUUUCAUCUCGGAGUCUGUUGGACUCCAAGUUAUUAUCUUUGUAACUUUUGUAGGGAUGAAGGUCUCCGAUAUAGAAUCAGCAGCACGUGCUGUGCUUCCAAAGUUCUACUCUGAAGACCUUCAUCCCGAGUCUUGGAGAGUAUUCUCAUCAUGUGGGAAACGUUGUGUUUUGACUUCCACCCCUAGGAUUAUGGUGGAACCAUUUUUGAAAGACUACUUGGGGGUAGAAAUUGUUUUAGGGACCGAGAUUGAAACAUAUAAAGGUAGAGCAACUGGCAUUGUUAGAUCGCCCGGAGUUCUUGUUGGGAAGAACAAGGCUAAUGCUCUUAGAACGACUUUUGGAGAUACUCAACCUGAUAUUGGCUUGGGUGAUCGCGAUACUGAUAUUCCUUUUGUGACAUUGUGUAAGGAAGGCUACAUUGUUCCAUCAAACCCAAAAGUAAAGGCGGUAAGUACAAACAAACUUCCCAAGCCUAUUAUAUUCCAUGAUGGUCGUCUUAUCAAAAAGCCAACACCGCUAAUACCUCUUCUCAUCAUUCUUUGGAUCCCCUUCGGCUUCUUCCUAUCUUGUUUGCGAGCUUGUGCAGGAUUACUCCUCCCUACACCUCUUCAAUACUACGCCUCAUGGGCCAUGGGUGUCCGUCUCAUAAUCAGAGGCAACCCACCACCCCGUAUCAAGAAAUCUAAAGAUCAAUCAGGCGUACUCUUUGUUUGUAGUCACAAGACUCUUUGUGACGCUGUUU